CCUCUGCAGGAAAAGACGCCAUCUGGACUCAGUUCCCCUUUAAGACGGACUCGUACUCGGACUGUCACGGUAAGCAGUACGUCAAGAGAACCUGGUACAGGAAGUUCGUCGGGGUCCAGCUGUGCAACUCGCUCAGGUACAAGAUCUACCUAAGCGACUCCCUCAACGGUAAAUUCCACAACAUCGGGGACCAGACCGGCUUCGGUGAGGACCACUGUCAGUUUGUGGAUUCGUUCCUGGAGGGAAAAACAGGCCGGCAGCUCCGGGCAGACCAGCUCCCUGCCAGACCCGGUUUCUACAGAGCUGUGCGUCAGGAGCCCGUCCAUUUUGGACAGAUAGGAGGACACUCCCACAUAAACUACGUCUCAUGGUACGAGUGUGGGACGCCCAUCCCCGGGAAAUGGUGAAUGGACUGACUCGUUCUUGGGACAGGGAGGAACCGUCACCCUGGCUGGGAUGACGACGACUUCAGGAGUCCGAAAAGAUCUCCUGGACUUGUUCCACCACCUUACCCAGAGCUGUAAAAACAUGUACAGGACAUACUCGUCAGGGAAUUAGUAACGCGAGAGCGUUUUUAAAUAUAGCAAACAUGCCUCGUCUUUACUAUUUAUCAAGCAACAAACUGGUAGAAGAGGAGGAGGAUACGUGGAGGUCUGGUCUCUGUCCGGACCGUCGGG